AACGAACGCUGGCGGCAUGCCUAACACAUGCAAGUCGAACGAGACCUUCGGGUCUAGUGGCGCACGGGUGCGUAACGCGUGGGAACCUGCCCUUAGGUUCGGCAUAACUCCCCGAAAGGGGUGCUAAUACCGGAUAAUGUCUUCGGACCAAAGAUUUAUCGCCUUUGGUUGGGCCCGCGUUGGAUUAGCUAGUUGGUAGGGUAAAAGCCUACCAAGGCGACGAUCCAUAGCUGGUCUGAGAGGAUGAUCAGCCACACUGGGACUGGGACACGGCCCAGACUCCUACGGGAGGCAGCAGUGGGGAAUAUUGGACAGUGGGCGAAAGCCUGAUCCAGCAAUGCCGCGUGAGUGAUGAAGGCCUUAGGGUUGUAAAGCUCUUUUACCCGGGAUGAUAAUGACAGUACCGGGAGAAUAAGCUCCGGCUAACUCCGUG
rnacentral:rRNA from 1 species